UGUACUUCCUAUGAAAUAUUAUAUUACAACUUCAUUUUCGGUCGAUUGAGGCAAUAAUGGCAUGAGUUAAAUUGCACGAAACAGCUCUUAUUAUAAAACAAGAAGUACUGCUUAUAAUUUAAAUUUGAAAGAUGAUUAUCUUUUGAAUGUAAAAAAAAAAAUCAAAGCACGUCGGGACCUUUUAAAGUUGACGAUACGGUAUCGGUUUUGUCAUUGUUGAAGGUUAUACUGUUGUCAAUUUAUGGUAUCGCCUCACUUAAUUUAUAGUUGGUUCACAUUUUGUCAUGUCAAUAAUGUUGUCUAUCCUCUUACAGUACAUGAAGCAAUUUAGAACUAAUGUCGGACGGAGAUGCACCUUUAUACUUCUAUCAGAUUUUCUUUUUUGCCGUACAUCUGACAAAGCAAUCUGCUAGAAUCCUUUUUUUAUAGUCUUUUUUUUUUAUCAUGAAAAGGUUCCUGUCCAAAUU
rnacentral:lncRNA from 1 species